GCAGUCAUCUGUUAUGAUGGAGUAUUUCUCAUGUUGAUAAUAUCCUAUUUGAAAAUACUUUAUGCAUUUUAAGAUUUCAGAUGCUGCUUUAUUUCUGUCUUUAGUGCUUUAUCCAAUUAUAUUUUUAAAAUGUUAUAGUGAGGCAAGGUUUAAGACCCAUCUUGUGGCCCAUUUGGUCGAAUGUCUUCUGAAAGUGAAUACCAGUAGAUGACUACUACUUGGGCUGAUAGGAGGACCCCUAAGAACAGGUCCUGAACACUGCGGCCCUCCCCUCUGGUGCCUUGUACUUUCUCCAAUGAGGAUUAUAUUCUUGCAGAAUCUUCCCAACUUCCAAGUCUGACACCAGAACAUCUGGAACGCUUCUGAAAUCAGCCUUGUGUUGUUGCUGAGACUAAAACUGCAGAUAAGGCAGAGUUUGUGCUUUACUCAUAGAUUUUACUCAGGCUUGCUCAGUUUAUCUUUGCUGUUUUUUUUUUUUUUUUCUUAAAGGGAAGGAAGGAAGGAAGGAAGGAAGGUGACUUAACCCAAGUAUUCUGAUUAUCAAAACUGUCAUUCUAUGAGAAAAAAGUAAAUGUGUGCGUGCGUGUGUGUGGGGGUGUUUUUCUUUUUACUUUGAUUCUUGUAAUCCAAAUAUAGAAUUAUAGCUAUUAUUGCUAUUACUUAGCUAUUAUUGCCUUUAUUUAUUUUGUCUUCUGAAGCACUUGACUUUAAUGAUUGUUCUUAAGAAACAGACUUAAUCCAAUUAGUGGUGAAUACUUGAAUUUAACUGAACCUAAACCAAAAGAUCUAAUCCAUUUAGAGUCUCAGACUGAAGGAGAGCGUUUGACUCUCUCAUUAUUCAUCUUAUGACGACGAAAGGAGACUAGUGGAAUGUAAUCAAAACAUUUAAUGUAAUGUAGUGUAAUUUAAUUGUCCAGUACAGAUAGAGUCUGGCAAGUUCUGGUAUGUUUAAAGAUGGGAAUUGAAAUUCCAGUCAAUCAAAUGAUAAAAAUCAAGUUGAUUGUCUUGUGCUUGGUGUGUUUACUUUGAAAGAUAAAGUCACAUAAAAGACAGGCCUUUGUCUUCAAAGCAGCUGAUGUCGCACUGGUAAUGGCUGGCUAAGUUUAUUGCUGUCUCCAUCCUAGACUUGCAAGUGUGUAUUGGUUGUGUAGGAAUGCAAAUGAGUUUAUCGCUUGUGGCUCUUUUACAAGAAAAUGGGCUUUUUUUUUUUUAAAGAGAGAAGACACUUAAAAAACUAUUUUGGAAAUUCACUAAGAAAGGGAUAAACCUCGAGGUAAAUAUUUUUGGCUUUUUGGAUAUUGCUACAAUUCUGAACACAGAUUUUAAACUUGCCAUCAAAAUGAUGGUAGCAUGUAGUUCUGAGUCUUCAUGGAGGCAAUGAGUGUUUCCUGCUUAAAAGGUCAUAUGUAUCAUUGAUCAUUGCUGUUAUCAUCGAUUGAUUAUCAUUGAUCAAUAGAACCGGUUAGUCUGUUCAGAAUACCAAACAUUGAACCAAGAUUUGCCAUUGCCUUUGUUAGCAAUCCUUAUUAGCUGCAGCAUCUGGAGUUCCAACUCUCCACAUCCUUUAUAGAAGGACAAGCAUUGGAAAUAUCCUGCAUACUGCCACUGCAGGCAGCGCCCACCGGGGCUAUAUCUUGCUGUUCUGUGAUCGUAUUUAUUAAAACAAUGACAUUUUCAUUUAUUGAAUGACAAAUUUUUGCUAGAUAUUUUAGAUAUAAGUAUUUUGGCUACGUGGAUUAAUUUAAAUGAGUCUAUUAGGCAUUCUGAUAUUUAACAAGUCUUAAAAUAUUUAUAGAAAAUAAAAGCAAAUUGGUAUAAAUUUUUAAGCAACUCUAUUUUUCUAGAGAAGAUUAGUGACAAUCUGAAUAUGUAGUAUUCUAGAAAACAAACUUUAAAAAAGGAGCAAAAAUAAACUGAUAACAUGCAAGAUCGGGGAUCCUGCAUUCGAUAUUUUAUGUGUGAGACUUAAAAUUUUUCGAGCU
rnacentral:lncRNA from 1 species